GCACACACACACACAUACACACACACACCCUUUGUUAGGAGUGAGUUUACUCCUACAUUCUGGCCUGUCUCCAUGUUCAAGUCAGGCGAAGGGGAACAGCAGCUCUGAGGAUGGAUUUCACCAGUUCUUCCUGAGGGCUGAUUGCCAUCUCCUUAUCUGACCCUUGCUGGAAGAGAAGGAGCAUCGUGGUGGAGGCGGCCGUCAGGGAAGCCUUGUCCAAGAGCAAAGUGAGUACCAUGUGGACCAUGUGGACUUUGGUGACGCGAAGAUGAAUAAGACUCGAUUCUCAAGGAGCCUGCAGUCUGAUCAAGUAGUUACUGAGAAGAGAGGAAGGAAAAGAUACCCUUGGCCUUUCCAACUUGUCAAGGGUCAACUGAAUGCCUGAGCCUGUCCCCCUGAGAGGGCGGUAGGCGAGAUUCCAGCAGGUAAUGGAUGAGCACAGCUAUGCCCUGACAGGGACAUUGCCUGCAAUUGGUUCCAGUCAUAUAUGGAGCCAAACAGCUUUGAAAAUUGCUGGGGGAUGGUGACAGAAGAGAGCAGGCUCGCCCCCUCCCCUAUCCCCUAGGAGCCUGUCCUGAUCCCCCUUCUGGGAGAUGAAAGGUGUGGUUUCCCAAAGCCAGGAGCAGAGCAAAUAUCUUCUGCCUCGGAGGGGCCUGUCUCUGCACAGGCUGGGAACCCCCAGGGAAGCAGCACUGAGGGCCCUAGGAAAGAGGGCAGAGGCCAGAGGCCAGAGGCAGGGAAGUGCCUCCUCAGGUCAGAUUCCAGACCAAACAGCAAGCUUUUCAGACUCUAGAAGGAUGGGGGUAGGGGCAGGAAAGGAGGGUGAAAGGUUAGAGCUCCUGUGGGUAGGGAAGGGGACUCUGGGGUGUGACAGACACCCCCAGGACACUGUGUCUGCCCAAGCCUUGGCUGGGAAAGUGGAGUCAGUGCAGCCACUGGGCGAGUGCAACCCUUGGGUUUCACCCCAAUAACUGAGUCCCAUUAGCACAGUGGGAAUAGGAGCUCUGGUAGAGCACUUGUUCCUCCUCUCUCAUUUAGAGAGAGAAACAGUUUACACAAAGAUAGCCAUCAUCUUGAGUCUCUUCUGUCAACUGUCCUGUGGUCUCUCUGGCCAUGCUGGGACAGAGCAUCACUCCCACAAGAAACCCUCUGAGUGCAUUUCCUCAGCUAAGCGAGUUCCCACCUCUGUUCCUAGAGCAGCAGCAUGAGUGAGCCUUAGGAACCACCCCAGAUUUUAGGGGUUAGAGUGGGGCUAGCUAUGCCGAUGGCCACCUUGGGCUCUGGUGAACUCCAGCCUCCUCCCAUCUGCCCACCAAGGGCAUCGCCAGGCCCCUGUGCUGAGCCAUUUGCCUCCUGCUCUGCCCCAAACCUAUUCAGCCCCCAACAUACUCACUUUCCUGUCCCCUUCACGCUUCUUAGCUCAUUUCAUCUCUGCUUCUGCAAACCCCCCGCCAAAUGAUCCUUUUCAUCUCUAUAUCCCCCCAGGCACACCUCCCUCCAAAUGCAAGACCACAGGGCCCUCGUUCUCAGGGACUAGGCCAUACCUAGGGGUAGGGCUGAUGUGGCAUUGGUAACAAAAUCUGCCAGAGUAAUUCACAUAAAUAUACAAGCAGGGCCCAGGUGUGGUGGCUCAUGCCUAUAAUCCCAACACUUUGGGAGGCCAAGUUGGGUUGAUCACUUGAGGCCAGGAGUUCAAGACCAGCCUGGCCAACAUGGUGAAACCCUGUAUCUACUAAAAUUACAAAAAUUAGCCAGGCAUGGUGGUACACACCUGUAAUUGUAGCUACUCAGAAGGUUGAGGCAGGGGAAUCGCCUGAACCCAGGAGGCAGAGGUUGCAGUGAGCUGAGAUUGUACCACUGCACUCCAGCCUGGGCAAUAGAGUGAGACUCUGUCUC